GCAAGUUCGGCUGCGGAACAGCUCCGAACGAUUCGCAGAUUCGCAUUGCCGAGUUUCAACCCUGAAACGGCGCGUCUUUGUUACCGCGGAGACUGAGGCUUUCACACGCAAUCUUUCAUACGUGCACGCGGUGGUGGGUUCGAGCGUUCGAUUGAGCAAGAGUUCCGCUUCUCCGGUGAUCGUGCCGCUAAUAAGACGAUAAUGAGCAACGUCAUUCGAGGUGAUCGCUUUCCCUCGUCUAAAUCCGUGGAAGAUAUCAGCACCUUGUGCGAGGUACCACGAGACAACACGAAUAGGAUAAGCACUUGAUACAUGGACCGCAUUGAAAGGAAGAACCAGUGAUUCGCACGAUGCUCGUUCCUGGACGGAUGUGCAUCUAUCUUCGACUAAUUGACAAGAAAGAUUUUCGUAAAGAAGUCCAAUCGGAUAGCCCUGAUGGUUCACCGAGAAAAGCGAUGAGGAGGAGUGUUUUAGCAACAUUGAACGGAUAAGUGAUUCUGACGGUUCUUUUAACGUUCGUCGGAGCUUCUGCGACUAAGGUAACGGGUACAUUAAUUAACGAUUUAAGAUAACGGUGUUGAAGGAUGCGAAUAGUGGUAUGAGACAAUGUGUAUUUAAUUUGAGGUUGAUAUCGUAUAACAACAUAGCAAUAUAGUGUAUAAUAUUUACAAAAUAAAUUAAAGUAGAAGUAUAUUGAUGGUGACGUUGCUUCAAUUAGCAGGCUAGAUACAAUAAGUUCAAGAAAUUUUUCGGAGGGGUCGGGAUCUCGCGUAACAGUGAAAGAAGCAUAGCCAUCCUCGAGGUCGGUCCAAUUCCUGUCGAAGAUCCUGUUUUCUUCGUGUACGUCUGUAAUGACCAUAAUGUCCCUUUCUCGGUCGAAAGACGCAUUAGGUAGCUGGUUAGCCGAAAGUAGUCUCGUUAAACGUAUCCCAUUCGAUUCUCAAUAAGGAAUGGCCUUCCACGAGUCAGCUCUGUACCGAGAACCAACUUCCUCGCCGACUUCCCCUUUCAUAAUGAAGUGACACGUGACAGCGGUCUCCACAACUCGAAUUAGAGUUCCUAGAUCAACAGUAUGAUCAGCUGGGUCGUCGUGUCUCGUGGAACGACGUGCAUGGUCACGACGAUGAAUAUUCGAUGAGAUCUGAUGAUGAUCCAAGUUCUGUGAUAUUUUGAUAGAGUUCUUUUAUUGCAGCAUGAUAGUCGUUCAAGAGGAUCAGACAGAUUGCAUGUACGAUCCCCUUGAUAUCGACCGAUGUUUCUUCGAUAUUCGUGCGACGUCGAUGAUCUUCCGACGGUAUGCUUAGAAGCAUUUGCGGUGAACGAUGCCGGGGCCUGAUUCGUCGUAUUCCUGCUUGGAGAUCCACAUCUGUUGGAAGGUGGACAGGGAGGCCAGGAUGGAUCCACCGAUCCAUACGGAGUACUUCCUCUCGGGAGGAGCGAUGAUCUUGAUCUUGAUGGUAGACGGGGCGAGGGCAGUGAUUUCCUUCUGCAUACGGUCAGCGAUACCGGGGUACAUGGUGGUACCACCGGAGAGUACGUUGUUGGCGUACAGGUCCUUACGGAUGUCGACGUCGCACUUCAUGAUGGAGUUGUACACGGUCUCGUGGAUACCGCAGGAUUCCAUACCCAAGAAGGAUGGUUGGAAGAGGGCCUCGGGGCAACGGAACCUCUCGUUACCAAUGGUGAUCACCUGACCGUCAGGCAACUCGUAGCUCUUCUCGAGAGAGGUGCUGGCCGCGGCGGUGGCCAUUUCCUGUUCGAAGUCCAGGGCGACAUAGCAAAGUUUCUCCUUGAUGUCGCGGACGAUUUCACGCUCAGCCGUGGUGGUGAAGCUGUAGCCUCUCUCGGUGAGGAUCUUCAUGAGGUAGUCGGUCAAGUCGCGACCGGCCAAGUCCAGACGGAGGAUGGCAUGGGGAAGGGCGUAACCUUCGUAGAUGGGCACGGUGUGGGAAACACCGUCUCCGGAGUCCAAGACGAUACCGGUGGUACGACCGGAAGCGUACAGGGAGAGGACGGCCUGG